UCUACGCCUUUUUCAAAGCCGACUCACGUCUGCUUUCGAGCCCUCCACCACCCCUUACAGACAUUCUCUGCUCCCGUCCACCCACUCAGGCACCCUCGAUCUCCUCCCAUCUUCUCUCUCUCUCUCUCUCUCUCUCUCUCUCUCUCAUCACAACACGUUUCCUCGCGAGUGGAGAUUCUCACCAUCAAGCGCGCACUGAAAGCAGAGCUGCUCUUGCGGAUGGAACCUACGCUUUUUUAUUCUCUCUGUUAUUGAAUAGAAUAUAGGAACGAGUGCAUUUAUCUCUUUCCGAUUCCCGAAAAUUCACAAAGCUUUCACGGCUUCUCUGCUUAAAGACGCCCCUGCUUUCAAGCCGAGUAUCCUUUCGCGAUCCGUAGCUCCGAUUGCUGAAGAUUCGUCACUGCGUUUCCCGGAUUUUCCUCUUUUUGCAGCGUUAGAGAGAAACGCCGGAGUUUCGGUUACUGCAAAGCGAAGGGCAUUAAAGGAGGAUGUGCGCAUUUUCAACGGCAUGCGGCGGAGAAAGGCAGUUGCAUUGAAUGCAGCUGCUUCAGCGGCGCGGCAAUGAAGCGUAAAGCAAAAGGUUAGUUUCAGAACCCUCUCAUAACUGUAGUUUUCAGCGGAGUCGGCGUUUUGCAGACUACUCUCCUUUUUCAGAGAGAGGGAGAGGGGGUGCAUGCGUUUGGCUGUAUGCUCUUUAUCUCAUGAUUGCUGUUGCUGUUCUCUAGUCCUUGGCGUUUCCGUCUCCCAU